CUGGUAGGCGGCUCUCAGCUUCACCGCCACAGGGACAAUUCACACUUCCCCCCUACCUGUCUCACACCGCGGCCGCGAGCUCUUGAGCGAAGACAGAAGCGAGGACAAUAACUGAGAAAGAAGCUGGAGAGGAAACCGGAAAGCCUUGAAUAUCGGAGGAAGCCAUAAAGCGUCAACAUCAGUGAGGCGAAGAAGAUAACCGCCGAAGAAGCUGAGGAGGAAUCCCGAGAGCUCUGACCGAGUACUGAAGUAAAGCCCGUAGGAGUCACCAUCAGUAGGACGAGCGACGCAUCAGUCAGUCUUCCCAGCGAUGAUGCAGCCCCGUCUCAUCCUCUCCGUGUGGGUCUCCUUGGGAAUGGCGCUGACGGGGUGGCAGGAGGUGGAAGGGGUCCCGCAAAGUCCAAGUCCUGAAUGCACAACCACCGUCAUCAAAGUCCCGAUUCUCUGCCAGGUGGUCGUACAUCACAAAGGAAAUCUACCUGAGCUCCGGAAGGAAAAAGAGGAGCAGCUCAAGCGACAGAUCUGCCCGUGCCCACACUUCAGAGUCGGGGGCCUGCUGUGCCUCGAGAUCGUCCACAUCCUGGCCAGAAAAUACGCCCCUGCCAAAGUGUGCGGGAUGUAUAGAGACCCGGUGCUGCAGACGUCGAAUACGAGUGUUGUGACGGGACCAAUAGAGUAGCGAGUGACAGGGAUGGUAGAGUGAUAGGUAGCAGGUGUGUUUAUAUUGAAGCCCCGAGAGAAAUCAAUACGUAGGCUGUGUGGGGUUUGUUUCUUUUGUCUACGUAGUUAGUCCGGUGUUGCGUGACGGCUAAUGGGAGUGAUGUAACAGGGAGAGUGGAUUAGUUAGAAGUUACCAGGAGGAA